rnacentral:rRNA from 1 species
GGGGCAACGGGCUUACCAAGGCAAUGAUGCAUAGCCGAGUUGAGAGACUGAUCGGCCACAUUGGGACUUGAGACACGGGCCCAAACUCCUACGGGAGGCAGCAGUAGGGGAAUCUUCCACAAUGGACACAAGUCUGAUGGAGCAAACGCCGCGUGAGUGAAGAAGGGUUUCGGCUCGUAAAGCUCUGUUGGUAGUGAAGAAAGAUAGAGGUAGUAACUGGCCUUUAUUUGACGGUAAUUACUUAGAAAAGUCACGGGCUAACUACGUGCCCAGCAGCCGCGGGUAAAUA